rnacentral:rRNA from 1 species
CCUACGGGAGGCAGCAGUGGGGAAUAUUGCGCAAUGGGCGAAAGCCUGACGCAGCGACGCCGCGUGAGGGAUGAAGGUCUUCGGAUCGUAAACCUCUGUCAGCAGGGAAGAACGGUCACUGUGCUAAUCAGCAGUGAAUUGACGGUACCUGCAAAGGAAGCACCGGCUAACUCCGUGCCAGCAGCCGCGGUAAUACGGAGGGUGCGAGCGUUAAUCGGAAUUACUGGGCGUAAAGCGCUCGUAGGCGGUAUGUCAAGUAAAGGGUGAAAUCCCCGCGCUCAACGUGGGAACUGCCUUUGAAACUGGCAAACUGGAGUGUGUGAGAGGAUAGUGGAAUUCCAGGUGUAGGAGUGAAAUGCGUAGAUAUCUGGAGGAACAUCAGUGGCGAAGGCGACUAUCUGGCACAUAACUGACGCUGAGGAGCGAAAGCGUGGGUAGCAAACAGGAUUAGAUACCCGAGUAGUC